UACGUAGGAGACGAGCGUUGUCCGGAGUUACUGGGCGUAAAGGGCGCGCAGGCGGCCGCCCACGUGUGUGGUGAAAGCUCCUGGCUUAACUAGGAGAGGUCCAUGCAGACGGGGCGGCUUGAGCGUCGGAGAGGGGCAUGGAAUUCCGGGUGGAGCGGUGAAAUGCGUAGAGAUCCGGAGGAACACCAAUGGCGAAGGCAGUGCCCUGGCCGACGGCUGACGCUCAGGCGCGAAAGCGUGGGGAGCGAACAGG
rnacentral:rRNA from 1 species